GGCUGGGUGAAGUUUUCGUCGGGAAUCCUGGUCUGUCAUUGGCCGAGCCGUCUGUCCAUCAGACUCAGUAGGCCGGGCCUGGAGGAACAGGUUGAGACGUUACAAGCUGCAAAAUCAACGAACGGGAUACACAGCGGUUACACUACGAACACAAACUGGAAGGGCUGAGUGCAGCGUGGGUGCCCAGGGAUAGGCUGUCUGAUGCUGGGGAACAGGGUGGCCGGUCCCCCCCGGUUAUGAACCAAACCAAGGGAGGCCUGGUCAUCUUCAGCGCCAACUCACACCCCUCCUCCAGGGAGCUCAGCGAGAGAAUCGGAGAGCGUCUGGGGGUGGAGCUUGGGAUGGUGCAGGUGUACCAGGAAGACAACAGAGGUGAGGAUCUGA